CCGACGAAUCUUCGCGCCAUCGGUUGCUAAAAUAAAAAAGAAGUGUUAUGGAAUGUUGCAAGUGCCCAAAAAAAAAAGCAUCAAGAUGAACACUUCAAACAUUAAAUCGUGGAUGAAAAAGAAUACGUGGCCCUCGUGAUCGCACUCGUCCGGGCCCUAUCGCUUCCGAACCAGGGACUGCGUAUGAUGCGAUUAUGACUCGUCGUUGUUGGGUUGGAUUAGUCUCAAUCGGUGUUCCUUGAAGCUGAUCCGUGGUUUUGGGACCCAGACGGUAGUCUCAUUGUUGUCUACAUCCGGUUCGGGCUGUCUAAGUUCUUCGUACAGGUUCAGCGAAUCCCGCUAAAUCCUGCGGGGCGUCCCCCUUCUUCUCCCCUCGCGCCUUCAAGCGAUUGCGUGGAAAUCUCGGGGCCUAAAUGUCUCCUGCUACUUAAGACACACCAAAUGUUUGAUCGUAUGCGUCAAAGAAAACAGGAAUAUUAGAUUACGGUAAAAUAUUGCA
rnacentral:lncRNA from 1 species